rnacentral:misc_RNA from 1 species
UCUCUUACAUCACAUUUUGUACCCUGUAAAGUAGAAUUAAUUCAUAGCUUACUGUUUGAAGCAUAGACAAUGGCCUAAGGAAAACAAAGCAAGAAUAACAACUUCAUGGCAGGGGGAAAGAAAAGAAUAAGGAAAAUUACAUCAUGAUCCUAAGGUUUGGCAAAAAUCACAUUUUUUUGUAGAUAAAAUCACAUAUUAUUCCCUACUAUAUGAAAAUGAAAUAAUUUGUUCCUCCAGGUUUUAUUACAUAUUAUUCCCUAAACCCAAUUAUAUGAUAAGUUAAUAGGAGAAUGAGAGACAAUGAGAGACAGAGAAGGAGGAGGCCUAAG